AUACGGAGGGUGCAAGCGUUAUCCGGAUUUAUUGGGUUUAAAGGGUCCGUAGGCGGGCUCGUAAAUCAGUGGUGAAAGCCUGCAGCUUAACUGUAGAACUGCCGUUGAUACUGCGAGUCUUGAGUAAAUUUGAAGUGGCUGGAAUAAGUAGUGUAGCGGUGAAAUGCAUAGAUAUUACUUAGAACACCAAUUGCGAAGGCAGGUCACUAAGAUUUAACUGACGCUGAUGGACGAAAGCGUGGGGAGC
rnacentral:rRNA from 1 species